ACGAACGCUGGCGGCGUGCCUAACACAUGCAAGUCGAGCGGAGAUUCGGGGGAGCUGCUCCACCGGGAUUCAGCGGCGGACGGGUGAGUAACGCGUGAGCAACCUGCCUUCAACGAGGGGAUAACGCAUCGAAAGAUGUGCUAAUACCGCAUGAGACCACAACAUCACAUGGUGAAGGGGUCAAAGGAGCAAUCCGGUUGAAGAUGGGCUCGCGUCCGAUUAGCUGGUUGGUGAGACAACAGCCCACCAAGGCGACGAUCGGUAGCCGACCUGAGAGGGUGAUCGGCCACAUUGGAACUGAGAUACGGUCCAGACUCCUACGGGAGGCAGCAGUGGGAAUAUUGCACAAUGGGGAAACCCUGAUGCAGCAACGCCACGUGUGGGAAGAAGCAUUUCGGUGUGUAAACCACUGUCAUGAGGGAAUAAGGCCUGUCUUCGGGCAGGAUUGAAUGUACCUUGAGAGGAAGCACCGGCAAACUUCGUGCCAGCCGCGGC
rnacentral:rRNA from 1 species